GACGAACGCUGGCGGCGUGCUUAACACAUGCAAGUCGAACGGAAAGGCCCUGCUUUUGUGGGGUGCUCGAGUGGCGAACGGGUGAGUAACACGUGAGUAACCUGCCCUUGACUUUGGGAUAACUUCAGGAAACUGGGGCUAAUACCGGAUAGGAGCUCCUGCUGCAUGGUGGGGGUUGGAAAGUUUCGGCGGUUGGGGAUGGACUCGCGGCUUAUCAGCUUGUUGGUGGGGUAGUGGCUUACCAAGGCUUUGACGGGUAGCCGGCCUGAGAGGGUGACCGGCCACAUUGGGACGGAGAUGCGGCCCAGACUCCUACGGGAGGCAACAGUGGGGAAUAUUGCACUAUGGGCGGAAGCCUGAUGCAGCAACGCCGCGUGCGGGAUAACGGCCUUCGGGUUGUAAACCGCUUUCGCCUGUGACGAAGCGUGAGUGACGGUAAUGGGUAAAGAAGCACCGGCUAACUACGUG
rnacentral:rRNA from 1 species